UACUUGCGACAGCUGUACCUCUGUUGCCCGUGGUGACUGAGUUCGCAGCCGGUACCUCGUCCGCUGCCGGGCUCGCAGGAGGAAGAGGGCGAGGGCCCCCGCGUCCCGGUGUGUUUGGGCUACGAGGUCAAGUCGGCGGCGGAGCGUAUGGUGCCGGAGGCGGGGUGGGAGCAGCAGUGGGCCAUGCACGAGAGGUGGUGGAGCGUGGGACAGCGCGGCAAGGCGUACCGGCAUUAGAGCCUGCCGAAGCUACGACCACCGUACCGCGACACGGGGCUGAUGCGCCUCAUGAAGGGUGCUGACCUCCGGCAGCCCAGGCUCUGAGACGCCCUCGAGGAAGACAGGCUCCGCGCGCGACCCGCCGGUCACGCGCACGACCAAAUGCUGGGAGUAGAACGGACCCGCGACGCCCACCGCGCCCGCCGGCCGCACCGGUGGCGCCGGAAGAAGAGGGUCGGCACACGACACCUGUAGCACAUACCCCUCGAGACCCGCCCCGCCGACCGCGACGGCCACUGUCUGCCCGCUCGUGACGAGCGCUCUCUUCGUGACCCGCACCUCGAACCCGGCCUCCUGUACGGCGGUAAGCGCCGACACGGCCUCAACGUUGGCCACGAGUGGUUCUGCAGCUAACCCGUCAAGCUGCCAGACCUCCUGCGGCUGCUGCACGAGGAGUUGAGAAAGGCGCUGUAGCGCGGUUUCCUCCGGCUCAUGUACCUCAAUUGUACCUCUCGUUUCUACUAACCAGGUUGAUACGGUAGCAUGAAAGAACUACUAUUAGCGGAUGGUAGGUUGUUCAGAAUGCCAAAGUUGAACAAGUCACUACCACAUAGCACAUACCUAACCAAUCUGUUCGUAUCGUACAGGAGGCAACACGAACAUACGAUACCGUGGCAGAGAUUGAUGCUACGUUGGGACAACCUCCUCGAACCGUCACCUGAUACGUUAAGACCGUUUGGAAAAGAAGCCCAACAGUCUAGGUUGCUCCGUGUGUUCAAUAGCCUUCUUGAGUUCCUCUUUACACUCUUGUUACCUAAUUAACAACGUACCAAGGUGGUUGAAGUUCAAAACGUGUGUUCCGAUAGCCAUACCAUUGUGUGUGUGUGAUGUAAAGAAAAUGAGGAAAAUACCUGUUCUUGUAUUUUUACAAAAUGUUUCAUUUGUUUAUACUGUUGUGAAAUAUAGAUUUAAGUACUUGUAUGUACAACCAACAAAACAAUGGGUGACGCCUACCUUGAGCUGUAACCUCCGUCAACAAUCACCACAAGGAGAACACCCUUAGGGUGUAACCCGUCUGUUUGGGUGGUAGAGUUUCAUACAUCUUUGGUACACCCCGUACACACACUCACAUGCCUACCCACUAUUUCCUACGGAUUUCUACUACCUCCAGUUCUCGAGGUAUCUCUCCACUACCUGCCUCUAUCUUUCCUACUCAUGUUUUCUUUACGACGUUUCACCUACGUUUUACGGUUCCUACGUUACGUCCUUCCUCCUUCGAGUCUAUUCGUAUAACGACUGAAACGACGCUUCAUAUGAAGUUUAACUUAAGUCUGGUUACGUAAAAAGUGAAGUUCAAUACUUUCAUCCGUAAUUGAUGUUAAUAAAAUCUCUCUUACUAUAAAAUGUACACGUUCAUCUCACGAUAGAAGAGUGGUAAAUCUUCCUACAAGUUAAAAGAUCACAUGAUUGUUAUACACUUGUUAACAAAUGUUCAAUAUCUAAGUAAAAUUUAUUUAAUAUCCCUCAGAUAUUGUCAUAAAAGUAUCGUUGAAAGUGAAAUAAUCAGGUACCCAUAAGAAUCACAAGUGGGAUUUAAUUCAAUUCUUCUACUAAGAAACAAGCAGGAUUUAAAAGAAACCUAUGGAUAAAAAAUAACCACGUUAUAAUCCUUAAUACAUUCGAACUUAACUUCAACUUACGGAUUUAUACAUACUUUAUUUUUGGGUGUCAAGAAAAGCAACUAGUUUAUGUGGUUUUCUGUGUACUUUCUACAUACUAAUCCACCGUAAACCACUAGAAGGAUAAACCACCCCAUACUUCCGAGGUACCGUUCUGGUGUGUACGGGUACAACAGACGUAACAGGAAGAGGUAAGAUUUCAUGGGUAAGAGCGGGGUUCAACACGGGGUACUUAAGAAGCAGUUGGUUAUUGAACACGGUAGUGAUCAGAAAGGUAUAGGUUACCGGUGUUGAGGUACCAGGUUCAGUCAUGGCGUUCUCGGCCAUUAGUGGGGUGGUCUCAUCUUAACCUUACAGUACAGCGGAGGCCGGUGUCGAUUCCUAUGACCAACCAAACGGUGGCGAAAGUAUUCCCGUGGGAUCAAUAACCGUCCGUGUAGUAGUUUCACCAACUACCAACGCCGCGAUAACCUAGGUCGAACGUGAACGGUAGUCGACGUCAUUUGCCCAUCGACCUGAGGUAUCAUUCUGGAAGCAAGAACUAUUACUUUAACUUCCGUAGUAGGUACUCAGGAGGGAGCGUUGGAACUAGAAGAGCUACUUGUAGUGUCAGUUGGUUGAGAACGAGGCUAUCACUCGAAUUGCAAGGACUAAAGUUAAAAUGUUAUGGGGAGACACCGUCGUUGUCAUCUUUUACGGGUCGUUGUCGGAUUUUCAUUAACACAAGAAUAACACAAUGGGAUCUUUUAUAAUGGUAUAUAUUCGUUACGUAGUGUUACACAAUACUGAAUGGCGUGACCGGAACUAGGAACUAUCCCGGGAGCUCAGGUAGCAACGACCUUCCCGAAGUUUUGAGUUUAAGAGUAUGGACUUAGGACUUCUUUCUUGAGAGUACCUCAAACGAAACUUGGGGAACAAACACAACCAACAGGACUUGAGUAGCAACCACUAUAGUCGGUUAACCAACUGCGGCUCGGUACUGAACACUAAGACCCGUAACUUGUAAAGUUACUUAAGUUGCAACCGAUACUUUUGGAACUUGGCCGUGCGGAAGACUCACCGCAAGAACAUGUGCGCCGGCAUGACGCGGUAGGUAAAGAGUACGAAGUGGCCAUAGCUAUUCAGUAACAAAUCGUGUGUUCAACGUUACUGUCAAGGUGUAUCCGUCUACGUUGGGUCCUACCGUUCCUCGUUUCGGGACACCUACCGGUAGAAGUUAAUACGUGGUUUUACGUAAAGAAGAUCAUGGCACAUGACACAUGAAACGAAACCAAACCAAACAACUUACCUUGAAACACCAUAUAUAUCACCGUACAUGCACAAUCUUAUCCUACAUAUAUCUAUGGAACGAACAUACUUCAACAAACACCUUUUCCCGAACACGCAACGGCACCUCACACCACAGGCCGGUCUAGCGACGAACAAACAAAGACCUGAGAUGUAGAAUGCUCUUCGGGACUAAUUCUCUAAAUGAUUACUUUGUUGUUGGACGAACAAAUAAAGUCCUCAGAUGUAGACUUUUUCUCGUAUCUGCACUGCUGAUCAAACGUGUUUACUUCGUUUAUUGACACACGAGUCUAUUACUUAUCGGUCGGAGUAUUAUUAUAUGACAAGCUGUUCUUAACAGAAUCAAAGGGUUCUAGCCAAAGUGUCGGUACUUUAAAGGAAGGACAGUAGGACCGAGCGUAAAACGAGAAUCAGUCAUCCCUUCCCUCAUUUACCUGAAAACAUGAGCAAUCCCGAAAUAUAAAAAAAAGCGCUUAUGUGUCUCCGCAUAGUAAAGUAACCAUCCAUCUUUCUCACUUUUCCCAUGUUCCGGCGUCGCUAUACACAUGUUGUAUCCCGCAUCUACCCUGACACUCUCGUCUUCUGUUCUCCUACGAGUCGGGCAUUUCUCUUUUCUUUAGCGAGAGUGACGUAGUUCGAUAGAUCGGAAACCGAGGGCGAGCUCGGGUCAACACACGCUGAAGAAACUACCGAACUUGGUGGGAUCACCACCUC
rnacentral:rRNA from 1 species